rnacentral:rRNA from 1 species
AGAGUUUGAUCAUGGCUCAGAAUGAACGCUAGCGGCGUGCUUAACACAUGCAAGUCGUACGAGAACUCUUUAGCUUGCUAAAGAUAGUAAAGUGGCGCACGGGUGAGUAACGCGUGGGUAAUCUACCUCUGAAUUUGGGAUAACUCCGCGAAAGCGGGGCUAAUACCGGAUAAUAUUUCAGGAUCUUCGGGUUUUGAAAUCAAAAGUGGCCUCUACAUGUAAGCUACUGUUUGGAGAUGAGCCCGCGUACCAUUAGCUUGUUGGUAGGGUAAUGGCCUACCAAGGCUACGAUGGUUAGCUGGUCUGAGAGGAUGAUCAGCCACACUGGAACUGACACACGGUCCAGACUCCUACGGGAGGCAGC